rnacentral:rRNA from 1 species
UAGAACGCUGGCGGCAUGCUUUACACAUGCAAGUCGAGCGGCAGCGCGGGGCAACCUGGCGGCGAGCGGCGAACGGGUGAGUAAUAUAUCGGAACGUGCCCUGGAGUGGGGGAUAACGCAGCGAAAGUUGCGCUAAUACCGCAUACGAUCUAAGGAUGAAAGCAGGGGACCGCAAGGCCUUGUGCUCCUGGAGCGGCCGAUAUCUGAUUAGCUAGUUGGUGGGGUAAAGGCCUACCAAGGCAUCGAUCAGUAGCUGGUCUGAGAGGACGACCAGCCACACUGGAACUGAGACACGGUCCAGACUCCUACGGGAGGCAGCAGUGGGGAAUUUUGGACAAUGGGCGAAAGCCUGAUCUAGCAAUGCCGCGUGAGUGAAGAAGGCCUUCGGGUUGUAAAGCUCUUUUGUCAGGGAAGAAACGGUAUGGGCUAAUAUCCCGUACUAAUGACGGUACCUGAAGAAUAAGCACCGGCUAACUACGUGCCAGCAGCCGCGGUAAUACGUAGGGUGCAAGCGUUAAUCGGAAUUACUGGGCGUAAAGCGUGCGCAGGCGGUUUUGUAAGUCUGUCGUGAAAGCCCCGGGCUCAACCUGGGAAUUGCGAUGGAGACUGCAAGGCUUGAAUCUGGCAGAGGGGGGUAGAAUUCCACGUGUAGCAGUGAAAUGCGUAGAGAUGUGGAGGAACACCGAUGGCGAAGGCAGCCCCCUGGUCAAGAUUGACGCUCAUGCACGAGAGCGUGGGGAGCAAACAGGAUUAGAUACCCUGGUAGUCCACGCCCUAAACGAUGUCUACUAGUUGUCGGGUUUUAAUUAACUUGGUAACGCAGCUAACGCGUGAAGUAGACCGCCUGGGGAGUACGGUCGCAAGAUUAAAACUCAAAGGAAUUGACGGGGACCCGCACAAGCGGUGGAUGAUGUGGAUUAAUUCGAUGCAACGCGAAAACCUUACCUACUCUUGACAUGGUACGGAAGCUCUCGAGAGAUCGAGGUAGUGCUCGCAAGAGAACCGUACACACAGGUGCUGCAUGGCUGUCGUCAGCUCGUGUCGUGAGAUGUUGGGUUAAGUCCCGCAACGAGCGCAACCCUUGUUCAUUAGUUACCUACACGUUAAGGUGGGGACUCUAGGAGACUGCUGGUGUACAACCGAGAGGAAGGGGGGGAUGACGUCAAGUCAUCAUGGCCCUUACGAGUCAGGGCUACACACGUACUACAAUGGUACAGUACAGAGGGAUGCAAACCGCGAGGGGGCAAGCUAAAUCCCAGCAAAGCCGAUCGUAGUCCGGAUCGUAGUCUGCAACUCGACUCCAUGAAGCUGGAAUCGCUAGUAAUCGCGGAUCAGAAUGCCGCGGUGAAUACGUUCCCGGGUCUUGUACACACCGCCCGUCACACCAUGGAAGUGGGUUUUCACCAGAAGUAGGCUAGUCCUAACCGUAAGGAGGGCGGUUACCACGGUAGGAUUCAGUGACUGGGGUG